GGAUAGCCUGAGGAAACUUGGAUUAAUACCUUAUAAAACAAUCUUUUAUAAAGAAAUAUUGUUAAAAUUUUAUAUGGCAUAAAAUAGGCGUAUGUCCGAUUAGUUAGUUGGUAAGGUAAUGGCUUACCAAGACAAUGAUCGGUAGGGGGCCUGAGAGGGCGUACCCCCACAUUGGUACUGAGACACGGACCAAACUCCUACGGGAGGCAGCAGUGAGGAAUAUUGGUCAAUGGAGGCAACUCUGAACCAGCCACUCCGCGUGCAGGAUGACAGCCUUAUGGGUUGUAAACUGCUUUUGUAUAUGAAUAAAAAAUUCUAUUUUUAGAAAAAAUUGAAGGUAAUAUACGAAUAAGUAUCGGCAAACUCUGUGCCAGCAGCCGCGGUAAUACAGAGGAUACAAGCGUUAUCCGGAUUUAUUGGGUUUAAAGGGUGCGUAGGCGGUUUUUUAAGUCAGUAGUGAAAUCUUAAAGCUUAACUUUAAAAUUGCUAUUGAUACUGAGAGACUUGAGUUAGGUUGGAGUAGCUGGAAUGUGUGGUGUAGCGGUGAAAUGCAUAGAUAUCACACAGAACACCGAUCGCGAAAGCAAGUUACUAAGCCUAGACUGACGCUGAGGCACGAAAGCGUGGGUAGCAAACAGGAUUAGAUACCCUGGUAGUCCAUGCCGUAAACGAUGAUCACUAACUAUUGGUUUUUUAUAAUUCAGUGGUCAAGCGAAAGUGAUAAGUGAUCCACCUGAGAAGUACGACCGCAAGGUUGAAACUCAAAGGAAUUGACGGGGGCCCGCACAAUCGGUGGAGCACGUGGUUUAAUUCGAUGAUACGCGAGGAACCUUACCAAGACUUAAAUGUACUACGAAUAAAUUGGAAACAAUUUAGUCAAACGACG
rnacentral:rRNA from 1 species